CCGCUGAUGACAGCGGAGGGACAUUAC
rnacentral:rRNA from 1 species